CCUACGGGAGGCUGCAGUGGGGAAUAUUGCACAAUGGGCGCAAGCCUGAUGCAGCCAUGCCGCGUGUGUGAAGAAGGCCUUCGGGUUGUAAAGCACUUUCAGCGGGGAGGAAGGCGUUAAGGUUAAUAACCUUGUCGAUUGACGUUGCCCGCAGAAGAAGCACCGGCUAACUCCGUGCCAGCAGCCGCGGUAAUACGGAGGGUGCAAGCGUUAAUCGGAAUUACUGGGCGUAAAGCGCACGCAGGCGGUCUGUCAAGUCGGAUGUGAAAUCCCCGGGCUCAACCUGGGAACUGCAUUCGAAACUGGCAGGCUAGAGUCUUGUAGAGGGGGGUAGAAUUCCAGGUGUAGCGGUGAAAUGCGUAGAGAUCUGGAGGAAUACCGGUGGCGAAGGCGGCCCCCUGGACAAAGACUGACGCUCAGGUGCGAAAGCGUGGGGAGCAAACAGGAUUAGAUACCCGAGUAGUC
rnacentral:rRNA from 1 species